GGAGAGGUGACCGAGUGGUCGAAGGUGCACGAUUGGAAAAUCGUGUGUACUGGAGACAGUACCGCGGGUUCGAAUCCCGCCCUCUCCG
rnacentral:tRNA from 1 species